GAUGAAGAACGUAGCGAAAUGCGAUAAGUAAUGUGAAUUGCAGAAUUCAGUGAAUCAUCGAGUCUUUGAACGCACAUUGCGCCCCCUGGUAUUCCGGGGGGCAUGCCUGUCCGAGCGUCAUUGCUGCCCUCAAGCACGGCUUGUGUGUUGGGCCCCCGUCCCCGGUUUCCCCCGGGGACGGGCCCGAAAGGCAGCGGCGGCACCGCGUCCGGUCCUCGAGCGUAUGGGGCUUUGUCACCCGCUCUGUAGGCCCGGCCGGCGCCAGCCGACACCCAACUUUUAUUUCUAAGGUUGACCUCGGAUCAGGUAGGGAUACCCGCUGAACUUAAGCAUAUCAAUAAGCGGAGGA
rnacentral:misc_RNA from 1 species